rnacentral:rRNA from 1 species
AGAACGAACGCUGGCGGCAGGCUUAACACAUGCAAGUCGAGCGCCCCGCAAGGGGAGCGGCAGACGGGUGAGUAACGCGUGGGAACAUACCCUCCGGUUCGGAAUAGCUCAGGGAAACUUGGAUUAAUACCGGAUACGGCCUAGCGGCGAAAGAUUCAUCGCCGGAGGAUUGGCCCGCGUCUGAUUAGCUAGUUGGUGGGGUAAUGGCCCACCAAGGCGACGAUCAGUAGCUGGUCUGAGAGGAUGAUCAGCCACAUUGGGACUGAGACACGGCCCAAACUCCUACGGGAGGCAGCAGUGGGGAAUAUUGGACAAUGGGCGCAAGCCUGAUCCAGCCAUGCCGCGUGAGUGAUGACGGCCUUAGGGUUGUAAACUCCUUUCAGUGGAACGAAAUUGACGGUACCACAAAAGAGCCCCGGCCAACUACGUGCCAGCAGCCGC